GAGCUGCCUGGCGCAGAACACCAUGUCCGCGGUUCCCCUGCCUGGACGGAAGCCCGCCUGGGACUCCGGAAGAACCCGCUCAGCGAGACAGUUUCCACAGUCGAGUUUGUCGCCCUUCUUGAAUAUCGUGACGAUGACGGAGUCCUUCAGUUCUCCAGGCACCGUCUCCUCGACCCAGCAUUGAAGGAUGAAGGUGUGGAGGCGGGGCUCCGGAGAUCUCCCGGAGAGUCGGCAGCUCCGUCAUCCAGUGUUGCACAGGGAGAUGGGGGACAGGAUCGAGGAAGCCGUCUGCUGCGCAUGUCGGACGGUUCAGGAGCUCCAUGAAAUGCUCCUUCCAUCGCUGGUGAGUAUCCUCCUUUUCCUGCAGGAUUGUGCCAUCCUUUGCCUUCACAGCCAUUGGAGGACUGUGAGCCGGACCGAUGAUCUUCCUCGUUGCUUCGAAGAAGGAUCUGGUAUCGUGACGGUCAGCGAAACUCUGCAUUUGGUGGGCAAAGUUGACCCACCAUUGAUUUUGGAUC